rnacentral:rRNA from 1 species
UGCCAGCCGCCGCGGUAACACGUAGGGGGCGAGCGUUGUCCGGAAUUAUUGGGCGUAAAGAGCUCGUAGGCGGUUCGGUAAGUCAGGUGUGAAAACUCAAGGCUCAACCUUGAGACGCCACCUGAUACUGCCGUGACUUGAGUCCGGUAGAGGAGCGUGGAAUUCCUGGUGUAGCGGUGAAAUGCGCAGAUAUCAGGAGGGACACCAACGGCGAAGGCAGCGCUCUGGGCCGGUACUGACGCUGAGGAGCGAAAGCGUGGGGAGCAAACAGGAUUAGAUA